rnacentral:rRNA from 1 species
GACGAACGCUGGCGGCGUGCUUAACACAUGCAAGUCGAACGGAAAGGCCCUGCUUUUGUGGGGUGCUCGAGUGGCGAACGGGUGAGUAACACGUGAGUAACCUGCCCUUGACUUUGGGAUAACUUCAGGAAGCUGGGGCUAAUACCGGAUAGGAGCUCCUGCUGCAUGGUGGGGGUUGGAAAGUUUCGGCGGUUGGGGAUGGACUCGCGGCUUAUCAGCUUGUUGGUGGGGUAGUGGCUUACCAAGGCUUUGACGGGUAGCCGGCCUGAGAGGGGGACCGGCCACAUUGGGACUGAGAUACGGCCCAGACUCCAACGGGAGGCAGCAGUGGGGAGUAUUGCACAAUGGGCGGAAGCCUGAUGCAGCAACGCCGCGUGCGGGAUGACGGCCUUCGGGUUGUAAACCGCUUUCGCCUGUGACGAAGCGUGAGUGACGGUAAUGGGUAAAGAAGCACCGGCUAACUACGUG